rnacentral:rRNA from 1 species
UCAGAACGAACGCUGGCGGCAGGCCUAACACAUGCAAGUCGAACGGAUCCUUCGGGAUUAGUGGCAGACGGGUGAGUAACGCGUGGGAAGCUACCUUGUGGUAGGGAACAACAGUUGGAAACGACUGCUAAUACCCUAUGAGCCCUAUGGGGGAAAGAUUUAUCGCCAUGAGAUGUGCCCGCGUUAGAUUAGCUAGUUGGUAAGGUAAUGGCUUACCAAGGCGACGAUCUAUAGCUGGUCUGAGAGGAUGAUCAGCCACACUGGGACUGAGACACGGCCCAGACUCCUACGGGAGGCAGCAGUGGGGAAUAUUGGACAAUGGGGGCAACCCUGAUCCAGCCAUGCCGCGUGAGUGAUGACGGCCUUAGGGUUGUAAAGCUCUUUCAGCAGUGAAGAUAAUGACAUUAACUGCAGAAGAAGCCCCGGCUAACUUCGUGCCAGCAGCCGCGGUAAUACGAAGGGGGCUAGCGUUGUUCGGAAUCACUGGGCGUAAAGCGUACGUAGGCGGACUGAUCAGUCAGGGGUGAAAUCCCGGGGCUCAACCCCGGAACUGCCUUUGAUACUGUCAGUCUUGAGAUCGAGAGAGGUGAGUGGAACUCCGAGUGUAGAGGUGAAAUUCGUAGAUAUUCGGAAGAACACCAGUGGCGAAGGCGGCUCACUGGCUCGAUA